GAGUUUGAUCCUGGCUCAGAUAGAACGCUGGCGGCAGGCUUAACACAUGCAAGUCGAACGGUAACAUGAGUGCUUGCACUUGAUGACGAGUGGCGGACGGGUGAGUAAGGUAUGGGGAUCUGCCGAAUGGAGGGGGACAACAGUUGGAAACGACUGCUAAUACCGCAUAAUGUUGAGAGACCAAAGCAUGGGACCUUCGGGCCAUGCGCCAUUUGAUGAACCCAUAUGGGAUUAGCUAGUUGGUAGGGUAAUGGCUUACCAAGGCGACGAUCUCUAGCUGGUCUGAGAGGAUGACCAGCCACACUGGAACUGAGACACGGUCCAGACUCCUACGGAAGGCAGCAGUGGGGAAUAUUGCACAACGGGGGGAACCCUGAUGCAGCCAUGCCGCGUGUAUGAAGAAGGCCUUCGGGUUGUAAAGUACUUUCGGUGAUGAGGAAGGUGGUGUAUCUAAUAGGUGCAUCAAUUGACGUUAAUUACAGAAGAAGCACCGGCUAACUCCGUGCCAGCAGCCGCGGUAAUACGGAGGGUGCGAGCGUUAAUCGGAAUGACUGGGCGUAAAGGGCAUGUAGGCGGAUAAUUAAGUUAGGUGUGAAAGCCCUGGGCUCAACCUAGGAAUUGCACUUAAAACUGGUUAACUAGAGUAUUGUAGAGGAAGGUAGAAUUCCACGUGUAGCGGUGAAAUGCGUAGAGAUGUGGAGGAAUACCGGUGGCGAAGGCGGCCUUCUGGACAGAUACUGACGCUGAGAUGCGAAAGCGUGGGGAGCAAACAGGAUUAGAUACUCUGGUAGUCCACGCUGUAAACGAUGUCGAUUUGGAGUUUGUUGCCUAGAGUGAUGGGCUCCGAAGCUAACGCGAUAAAUCGACCGCCCGGGGAGUACGGCCGCAAGGUUAAAACUCAAAUGAAUUGACGGGGGCCCGCACAAGCGGUGGAGCAUGUGGUUUAAUUCGAUGCAACGCGAAGAACCUUACCUGGUCUUGACAUCCACAGAAUCUUGCAGAGAUGCGAGAGUGCCUUCGGGAACUGUGGGACAGGUGCUGCAUGGCUGUCGUCAGCUCGUGUUGUGAAAUGUUGGGUUAAGUCCCGCAACGAGCGCAACCCUUAUCCUUUGUUGCCAUCGGUUAGGCCGGGAACUCAAAGGAGACUGCCGUUGAUAAAGCGGAGGAAGGUGGGGACGACGUCAAGUCAUCAUGGCCCUUACGACCAGGGCUACACACGUGCUACAAUGGCGUAUACAAAGGGAGGCGA
rnacentral:rRNA from 1 species